rnacentral:rRNA from 1 species
CAGAGACUGCAAGCGUUAUUCGGAUUCACUGGGCGUAAAGGGUGCGCAGGCGGUUGGGUGUGUCAGAUGUGAAAUCCCGAGGCUUGACCUCGGAACUGCGUCUGAAACUACUCGACUAGAGUAUUGGAGAGGGUAACGGAAUUCACGGUGUAGCAGUGAAAUGCGUAGAUAUCGUGAGGAACACCAGAGGCGAAGGCGGUUACCUGGACAAUUACUGACGCUCAGGCACGAAAGCAUGGGGAGCAAAAGGGAUUAGAUACCCCUGUAGUCCAUGCCCUAAACGGUGCACACUAGGUCUUAGCGGAUUCGACCCCACUAGGGCCCAAGCUAACGCGUUAAGUGUGCCGCCUGAGGACUACGGUCGCAAGACUA